rnacentral:rRNA from 1 species
UACGUAGGGGGCAAGCGUUGUCCGGAUUUAUUGGGCGUAAAGAGCGUGUAGGCGGCUGGGUAGGUCCGCUGUGAAAACUCGAGGCUUAACCUCGAGACGUCGGUGGAAACCAUCCAGCUAGAGUCCGGAAGAGGAGAGUGGAAUUCCUGGUGUAGCGGUGAAAUGCGCAGAUAUCAGGAGGAACACCGGUGGCGAAGGCGGGACUCUGGGCCGAUACUGACGCUGAGGAGCGAAAGCGUGGGGAGCGAACAGG